AUGCACAUACAUACAUACAUACAUACAUACAUACAUACAUACAUACAUAAGCAAGUUACUUUCAGGGUUGUGAGGACUUUCCCCCCCCCCCCCCCCCAAAUUACAAACCAGAACAUGGGUGUGGAAUUGGGACAGACUGUUGGAAACAGGACUUCUGCUGCAAGUAUCCGGGCGGCACAGUUUUCACAGGUCGCCAGCACAUGCUGGAACCUCCUUGGUGGUGGUGGGGGGGGGGGGGCACGGUCUGGUCUCGCGCCCCAGCCUGCGGGGCUCCCGCGCUGGCCGGGCGCUGAGCGGGUCUCGGGGCUCCCGGCCGCCCCCCGCCGCGGGGAGCUGGGCGCCCGGAGACCCCGCCGCCCCGGGGACGGCCCGGCGGCGCGGAGAGCGGGGAGGCUGGAGCCCGCUGAGGUCAUUUCCUGUGCCUGCCCGCGAGCCGCCCGAGGAGCCGCGGCGGCCUCGGCCUUGAAGGAGGGGGCGCGGCGCCGCGCUGCAUGGGGCGCCGCGAGGCCCGGCUCGGCUUUGUGCGGCCCGCCCGCCGGCACCCCCGCCCCGCCGCGCCCCCGCCCCGCCGCCCCGCCCGCCCGCGCCCCGCCCCGCGCCCCCUGCCGCCGCCGAGCCGAGGCCGGGCGGCCGCCGCCGAGCCGGCCCAGAAGGACGCGAGGUCAGCGGAGGGCGCCCGGGUCCCGGGUGGGCGGGAGGCGCGGCGCGGGGCGUGCGCGGCCCGGGGGCACCGGCGGGGCGCGGAGGACCGGCCGCCCCCGGCCGUGCGGCGACUCGGAGCAGGUGCCUCCCCACCCGGCGCUCGCGGCGCUGGCAGCGCGGCUGGGCUUGCGGACGCCCCUCGGGAGGAGCCGCCCCCUCGGGAGGAGCGGGUCUGCGGGACCGGCUGGGGCCCGCCGCCCCGGGAAGGGCCUCGGGCGCGCUGCAGGCUUGGCGCCGCGCCGCCCGGCCUCCCGCUCGCGUCCCCCCUCGGCUCUCCUGCCGGCCUCGGCCUCGUCUCAGGUAAUCUCUUCUGUGAUUUCUCGGCGGCCCCUUUAUGGACUCUGUUGGGUCAGGCUCGACUCCUACAAGCAGGUCAGCCAAGCAGAAAAGAAAACAAGUUGGGCACUGAGUGACAGGCAGGAGCUUUGUGUCCCGGGAGCCUUAGAGAGGACUCUGUCACCUGGGAACCCUCCUGGGGCGGGGGUGCAGGGGGGCAGAGGCAGUGAAGACCCUCACUUGGAAGUAGAAUCCGCUCCCUGUUGGAUCUGUCCCUUCCAGGACAUCUCUAGAACUUUUACUGUGAGCCCAUCUCAUAAAACUCUUUUGUGCAGAGCCUCAGUUCCAGGUAAAACUUUUUCUACUUUGAAAGAUCAUCUUAAUAACAAUGGCAUUGGAAAAGUCGUGAGUUCUUUCGCCAGGCUUUUUGGACUGUCUUCUACCUGCCAGACUUUCUGUAUGGUAAUGUCACCGAACACCGAACACUUCUGUAUGGUAAUGUCAUCUAACACUUGA
rnacentral:lncRNA from 1 species